AAUCUAACAGUCUUGUGGGGUGCUGCCAGAUCUGACGGUUUACAUGUUAAUAUCUUAACGGACUGCACUACAGGAGCUCAUUCUAGUGCUCGCUGGACGGAGUAGUAAGAUUGUAAGAUAAAAGCAACUUUCGAUCAAGCAACCAACAAUCAUGUGCUGUGAUGGAGAUUGCAGGCCACUGGGCUUCCUCCUGGGCCUUCCCUUUGCUUUUCUUUCUCUCAUCAUCUCCAUUGUUGGAAUUGUUGUUUGGAUAGUCGGGUUUGUCCUGUCCCCUUGGCUUGGCUUUUCAUAUGUUGACUUCCUUCUGCUGUUUGCUACUUUUGACAAUAUUUGGGAUCUAGGUUGUUGUUGACGUUGAUCUGUCCCUGUUGUUUGUGCGUGACGGUUCUAGCGGAGCUGGCGCUGGAGUUGGUCAAAGCUCCAAUUCAUGUCAUGAAAUGGUUCACCGAAAAGAUCCCUUGUUAAUUGGUCUCCAAUCCAAUCCACACCGACUGGAGUCCUCUGUUUUAUUUUACGGUGUUUUGUGCAUUAUUAUGUACCAUAUGUUGCUUGCCUUGCCCUACAUAUCUUCCGGAUCUAUUUCUAUUUAUUCAGCUAUUUGAUUAUGGCUAGGGUGAAAUUUGGGCAAAAUUUCAUUUCAGGUUUAUUCACUACUGGUCACAUAUACUUUUAUUUUAUAUAGACAUGGGAUUUUGAUUUCUGGCUGAUUUAUGAGGAUUUCCUCUCCUUCCACACAA